rnacentral:tRNA from 1 species
AGCUUUAUAGUCAAUAUAAUGAUAUGAAAUUGCAAAUUUUAAGGGGUAAAUAAAUAAAUUACUAAGGCUU